GCUGGGCACAGUGGUGCACACCUGUAGUCCCAGCUACUCGGGGGCCUGAGGUGGGAAGAUUGCUCGAGCCCAGGAAUUCUGGACUGCAGCACGUCACGGCAAUCAGGUGUCCUCACUAAGUUUGGCAUCAAUAUGGUGACCUCUGAGGAGGGGGCCCACAAGGUUGCCUAAGGAGAGGUGAACUGACCCAGAGAGAAAAUGGGGCAGGUCAAAAGUCAAAACUCCCGUGCAGAUCUGUAGUGGGAUCGCACCUGUGAAUAGCCACAGCACUCCAGCCUGGGGAACACAGCAAGACCCUGUCUCUC
rfam:Homo sapiens chromosome 20, GRCh38 reference primary assembly.